UUUUUGUAAAGGAACUGAAAUAACGAAAUUAGUUAAUGAGCGAACGUGUUACAACUUCGAAAGCGCUGAAUGUUUAACAACGGGAAAACAUAGAAUCCUAGCUUCGUAUGUGGAUGAGUGAUUUAAUUCGCCAGACACGAGAGAUAUUUAAAGAUGAACUAUUUAUAUUCAAAGUGUUCUCGAACUUUCUUCGAGCACAUCUUAAUGAGCAAACAAAAGACGUUGUGAGAAGAAAUAACUGCAUUCGUGCAAAGCUGAUUGCUGUAAAUCAUCUCGUUCAUUUCAGCUGCUUUCAAACAUUGAUAAAACCACUUAUAGUUGUCAUCAAAAUAAUGUUUUAUUUAUUCCGGAUGUAUAACCGUUCGAGGGAAGUUUGUCAAAAGUGAUCUUUAUUUAGUCUUACGUCAGGGGCUUUACUUAAAUGACAUCGUCAAGGAAUUUAUCAAUCGUCUCGAAAGUGCAUACAAUAGGUGAGCAGAAGUCACACCACCUGUAGGGGCGUUCGUUUGUUAGGAAUUAGGAUAAAAUUUAAGACCUUAAAUGACACCUCGAGAAUGGGAACAGUCGCAGCUUAAUCAAAAGACGUCUGGCCAGAAAAUACUGAAGAUUCUCGAAAAGUGCAAGGUGCCCCAUUUUUCUAACCGAGCCAAGAAGUUAGUCUAACACUUUGUUGCAAGCGACGCGUUUUGGUUGUUGAAGAUGCUGCUUUCCGUUACCCAAGUCAUGGUUGUUGCGUUACUAUUCCGCGUCGCUACUACGGGCAAAUCAAGCCACAGACAACAUCGUUUUGACUGUCAAGUAUCGAAAGGCUACCUUUACAUGGGGAAGGCCGAUUGUAGCUUCAAAAUUACAACUUUUGGUUGUCGAGGCAGCUGCUUGUCGUCGGCGAAACCUUUCAGCCAUAGAACUGGAUUUGCUUCAAGUUGUGGGUGCUGUGCACCCAUCGAAGAUACCAUUGAAGAAAAAACGGUGACCUGUCGAGGGGAAAAGAAAGUGAUUCGUUAUCCAGUGGCAAGAAAAUGCGCCUGCAGACCAUGUAACUGACAGUAUGUCUCGUUUAUCUAUUUUUGGAUGAGUUGCGUUUAUGCAAAACGGGAACUAGUCAGAAAGUUUCAUUGUACCUAAUUGAAAACAAUGACUGAGCAAUAAGUCAUCAAAUGGAAUUUAAGACAGCAAUCGUAUUUCCAGUUUCGAUGUGUUUCCGAGAGGAGCUGUGGACUAAGACCUGAAUACUUUUUACAAAAUCCUACCAACAACAGGUUUAAGGUGAACAUUAAUUUAAAAGUUAACGUUACCGUAUUUAUGGCCAUUCAUUAUAUUUGUGAUUUAUUUUUGUAACCAGCUAUUUGAACGUAACAGUUAGCUCACAAUACGUUUAUAAGUGUCAAUAUAGUGCAAAGAAAAUUGUGCUGCGUACCAUUGCACAUUUCAUGAAAUGUAAAGAGAACAACAGAAGAUUAUGCGAUAGUGCAUCUUCUCAAUACGAUGAUAGAAAGCCGUCACAUGAAGAGCCAUUUAAGAGAAAUCGGAGUAAAAACCAUGCGAUAAUCUUUUUAGGAUAUUACCCAAUAUUAAGUGAGAUAUUUAAGAGUUAAACGGUUUGGCGUAUGUUAAGAUGUUUCUAAAUGGAAAGGCAAUUAACGUUAAUACGAAAUAGACCAUUCAUGCCUAGGGCAUGUCUCGGUUUCACGACCAAUUUACGUAGAGUUAAUAUUGUUUUUGUUUGCAAACCUGCGUGGAAUACCAUCGAUCAAAAGAAAAUGAGACUGAACAAAAGCAAACAAGGUUGGAGACACUCUAAUAUAACACAGCACAGGCGACAGCGUUUUAAAACAUGUAUAUUGAAGGGUUGAUAAUGUAGGGAUUACGUGUAUAUAACUUUAAACCGACCUCAGAUAAUUGUAAAUAAUCUAAAUAAAUGUUUGAAACUUCAUUAAAUCAUUUUGGUAAGGAAAUUAACCCAAUGAAAAUAUGUCCAUAAAAUCCCUUGUUGAUUUUUUUAAAUGCUUACUUUGAAUUUGGCUAUAAUGGAGAAGCAGCCCUUGUUAAUUGAAGUCCUCUCUCCAAAGCGGCGGCUGACAGUUUACAUUUACACCAGUUCCUAAAUUAAUAGCAUGAUAAGGUAGUCUCGCAAACUCUGACAUAGUCAGAUUUUAUUUCAGUGUUGCAGAUGUAUUUUUGCAAAGAUGUAGAGAUUUGCUUGCUCGAGGGUCUAUAAUAUACCCUGAAUCCUACAGAGGACAGUUUAAAUGAAACCGCGAUAAUUUUUCUCAUAAUAAAACUACAAACUUCAAGUUUGCACCUUCUAACAAUAGAAAACACUUACCUCUUAGGAGAGAGGAACUAUUCCCAUUAAAAUUAAAAUGCAAUCAG